GAUUCCACCUACAGCAAAGCUGGAUGCGAUGGCUGGCAGAGGCAAACCCUUUGCCUGCACUUCAGGCCAAAGCCGGGAUGUGGCCUAGAUGGUUCCUAAGGUCCCUGACAAUCCUGAGAUCUUGCAUCUUGUCUAUUUCAGGUCAAAGGUGCCUACAUGCUCCUUCUAGCUUUGUUUCCCUGAUGUUCCUUGCCACCUGCUACUCCUCUCUGAGCUACUUUUCCAGGUUCCACAGGGAGAGGUUCAGCUGUCCGUGGUAGACAUGAGGGUAGAGAAUGAGGUGGUUGGGUUCCACUUACCUUUCUAUCAUCUUGCAGUAUGGAUGUCUCUUGACUGGUACCGUGUAGACUUUUGAGGGCACACAGGAGUCUGCAGAGAGAUACUGGGGACAUUGAGCAGCAGCAGUGGGGUUGGGAGGCAGAAAUGAGGACAGGAACAUUUACCUUGUGUUUCUCUCAGCUUCUCAGAUGACCAAGAUGGUGCUGCAGAUGGUGCUGAGGAUGGAGAACCCACCAAGCCCCGCUAGGAGCCACCUAGACUGGAUGCAGAGCAUGGCUAAAACCUUUGAAGAAGAAUUUAUUAUAUCCUACAAACCUGGGAGGCAGAGGUUGCAGUGAGCCAAGAUUGGGCCAUCGCACUCCAGCCUGGGCAAUAAGAAUGAAACUCUGUCUCAAAAAAAACAAAAGUUGGCCAGGGCUGGGCGUGGUGGCUCACACCUGUAAUCCCAGCACUUUGGGAGGCUAAAGCAGGUGGAUCACCUGAGGUCAGAAGUACGAGACCAUCGUGGCUAAUAUGGUGAAACCCCAUCUCUACUCAAAAUACGAAAAAAGAAAAAAAAA
rnacentral:lncRNA from 10 species